AAGUGAUACUGACCAACAGGAACAGGAAGUUCACAGCUAGGGGCAGGGUCACUCCAGAUCCCGUUCCCUUGACUGUCACUCAUGCAGCGGAUGGUGCUCUUCCCAAUGAGGCUGAAGGUCAUCCCUCCUUCAGGAUGGGGGUCACAUGUGGCCAAGCCUCUCCUGUUUCUGACUCUUUCCACCCCUGGAAAGCCCUGGCACAUGGGAAGCUGUUCAUCAGUAAAUAUCAGAGGCUAAGCAGCAGAUAGAACAAAUAAUGUAGACAGCUGACGGGGUCAAAGGACAUAAAAAUUUAAGAGAUUGCUCUGUGGUGACAAAACUAAAAAAAAAAAAAAAUGAAUAAAGAAAAUUUGGUAUACCUUUAUGUCAUCUUCUUCCCCCCACCCAGAAAAUUCAACACUGUCAUUAAACUAGUGCUUUACAGAUUAGAAACAUAAAACCAUGAUCUAGAAGAUCUAUAAGACCUUCCUUGAAAUUCUUUGAGCAAGGAAAAAAUUUUUUAUUAGCAAUUCAGUUAAAGAUCCAGAUAAUAGUCAAUCCCAUGAAGCAUAACACACUGGAAAAAAAAAACACAAAAAAACAAAAAUGAGAGCCAGGUUUCACAGGCAUUCUUGCUACUCACGUUCACAUAUGGGAACACUGCUGUUCCAAAGGCUUUCCAUUCCAGCCAAGACACAAUGACUGGCAGAGCUGCCCCUUAAUCGGAACCUAAAGGAAG